AUAUAUAUAUAUAAUAUACACACACACACACACACUCAGUCAGUCAGUCAGCUCUAUAUCCGCGGUGUUUGACCGUAAUCCCGUCAUUUAUUUCCGGUGAACACUCGGACUUUAUCCCAUUUCAACUCCACAAAACUCAAGGCGACUUCAGAAGAAUGAACCAAUCACAGCCGACUAGCGUCAGGACGAACCAAUCACAGCCGGCUAGCGGCAGGAUGAACCAAUCACAGUCGGGAGGUGUUUGUAAUUUGAGUGUUUACACACGUUAAAUCGAAACUCGUCGUUAGAGUUUGUUCUGUGGUCAGACCACAUUUCUGAACUCUGAACCGAAGCUGACUUCUGUCUUAUUUAUCGUCUGCAGCUCAGCCUCCUUCUGAUUAACAGUUUAUAAAGAGCAGCAGACUUCACUCUUCUCACAGUCAUGGACUUCUCUGCACAGGAAUAAAAUACUUUUAAGGUGCUUUUUUACUUUAGUUAUAAUUAAUGCUAUUCCAGUUGUUGUUGUUUUUCUUAUCUUACCUUUAUCUUAUUUAUCCUCCAUCAUUAUUAAAUACUUACCAAAGUUUAUGUAAUAGAGUAUCCAGAUCCAUGGGUGCCAAGGUUUCAGUCGUCAAUCAGACUCCUUACACCUGGUGCUUUGACACCCAGGACAAAAGAGGGUAUAGACGCAUCGCUCCUGGAUGCACAACAUCCUACGAUGAGUCUCUGGCAAUCCAUCGCUACAUCUACAUCAGAUAUGAAAAUCACUCGUGGAAUAGUUUUUCAUAUGAGUUUAACACCCAUAAAGGCGACACGUCUUUUAUCCUAAAAGAAGCCCUCGACCGUUCCCAGAUUCAGUUGCACUGCACCUCUGAGGGCGGCACUCGUUACUGUCCCAACUACAGUAAGUUCCUGCAAACAUGUCAUUUCUGGACUACUCUGUACAGCGUAAUAUUUGUUGUUCUAGGGACAAAAAAAAGUGUAGGUUCUCUUGCAGCUGGUCUGCAACCACAUGUAAGAAAUCUUGGGGUAACAUUUGAUUUGUCACUAAACUUCACCAGCCUGUUUCAAAUCGGUUUUUAAAACCUCUUAACAGCAUUCACCAGCAAAGAUCACCAGCGGCCUCGGAUUAUUGCUGUUUCACAUUCACAGCAUAUUAAAACACACUAUUAUUUGAUCCGGAAAUACUGUGUGUCUUUAAAAAGAUGAAAAGUGUCGAAAGUUUUCAGAUUUUAUCCUGUUUAAUGUGUUUGUACUUUUUAUAUGCUUAAAGGAUUAGUUCACCCAAAAAUGAAAAUUCUGACAUUAAUUACUCACCCUCACGUCAUUCUAAACUCGUAAGACCUCCGUUCAUCUUCGAAACACAAAUUAAGAUAUUUUUGAUACAUUCUAACAGCUCUCUGACCCUCCCAUAGACAGCAAUGUAAUUACCACAAUCAAGGUCCAUCUGUGACACACAGAUAUGUUUGCUACGUUGUUUACGCAUUGAUUGGAAAGAAAACAAUGUAUCCGUGUGACACAGCUUACACAGAAUAUAAUACGCUGUUUGCGUUCAUUGGAUACUCUCCAAAAUGACACCAGGGUGACGUGGAGGAGACGAAUUGUUGAAUAAAGUUAUUUUUGUUUUCUUCGCGUACA
ensembl:lncRNA